ACCACUUGGAAACAGGUGCUAAUACCGGAUAAGAAAGCAGAUCGCAUGAUCAGCUUUUAAAAAGGACGGCGUAAGCUGUCGCUAUGGGAUGGCCCGCGGUGCAUUAGCUAGUUGGUAAGGUAAAGGCUUACCAAGGCGAUGAUGCAUAGCCCGACGUUGAGAGACUGAUCGGGCCACAUUGGGGACUGAGACACGGGGCCCAAACUCCUACGGGGGAGGGGGGCAGCAGUAGGGGGAAUCUUCCACAAUGGACGCAAGUCUGAUGGAGCAACGCCGCGUGAGUGAAGAAGGUUUUCGGAUCGUAAAGCUCUGUUGUUGGUGAAGAAGGAUAGAGGUAGUAACUGGCCUUUAUUUGACGGUAAUCAACCAGAAAGUCACGGCUAACUACGUGCCAGCAGCCGCGGUAAU
rnacentral:rRNA from 1 species